rnacentral:misc_RNA from 1 species
CUCGUUGCAUCUCGCACUAUGAUCUCCCUAUCCACGAAUUUGGAGAUGAACUUGAUCGCCGUGUGGCAGUCAUUGCACACCCGCAGGUUCUUCAUGAUCCGCAGGGUCGUCUUUUCCGGAGUGCUGAUGAGGCCGAACGCGAUGGCAAGCUUCUCGCUGUGGCGGCUCAGCAACUCUUCCUUCAGCUCGUCAUCAACGUCGUGCAGGACGGAGUUCAGGUCGGGGACAAAUCCCGCCUUCUUGAUCUCCUCCCACAUUUCAGCGGCCUUCCGGUAGAUCGAAUCCCUCUGCGGAUGCAGGACGUCGUCUGCUCCGAAGACGUGAACCUUGCCUCGUACAUGGGUCCAGCUGAAACCGGUCUCCUUCUUCACUCCUUUGUCCUUCCUCAGCUUCCAGAUCCUCGCUGCGUCGUU